rnacentral:rRNA from 1 species
CUGGCGGCGUGCCUAACACAUGCAAGUCGAACGAGAAAGUGGAGCAAUCCAUGAGUAAAGUGGCGCACGGGUGAGUAACACGUGACUAACCUACCCUUGAGUGGGGGAUAACUGAGGGAAACCUUAGCUAAUACCGCAUAAUACCCACGGGUCAAAGGAGCAAUUCGCUCGAGGAGGGGGUCGCGGCCGAUUAGUUAGUUGGCGGGGUAACGGCCCACCAAGACGAUGAUCGGUAUCCGGCCUGAGAGGGCGCACGGACACACUGGAACUGAAACACGGUCCAGACUCCUACGGGAGGCAGCAGUGGGGAAUUUUGCGCAAUGGGGGAAACCCUGACGCAGCAACGCCGCGUGGAGGAUGAAGUCCUUCGGGACGUAAACUCCUUUCGAUCGGGACGAUUAUGACGGUACCGGAAGAAGAAGCCCCGGCUAACUUCGUGCCAGCAGCCGCGGUAAUACGAGGGGGGCGAGCGUUGUUCGGAAUUAUUGGGCGUAAAGGGUGCGUANGCGGUUUGGUAAGUCUUGUGUGAAAUCUAUGGGCUCAACUCAUA